rnacentral:ncRNA from 1 species
AAGAAAUCGAUGAAGAGAGAGUAACGUUUAACCUCUAGGUUAGCGAAUCAGGGAUGGUGGAAGCCUGAUGCUAUGUCAAACGUGAAGAACACUCGGAGAGAUGGAAGAAAUUUGCUCGUCAAAAAGUAGAACCAUCCGCUAACCGCGUUAAACGUUUUAAAGGGCUAGAAUUCAUUCUAGAACUAAGGUGGUACCGCGUAUAUUUUACGUCCUUAGA